GACGAACGCUGGCGGCGUGCUUAACACAUGCAAGUCGAACGGAAAGGCCCUGCUUUUGUGGGGUGCUCGAGUGGCGAACGGGUGAGUAACACGUGAGUAACCUGCCCUUGACUUUGGGAUAACUUCAGGACACUGGGGCUAAUACCGGAUAGGAGCUCCUGCUGCAUGGUGGGGGUUGGAAAGUUUCGGCGGUUGGGGAUGGACUCGCGGCUUAUCAGCUUGUUGGUGGGGUAGUGGCUUACCAAGGCUUUGACGGGUAGCCGGCCUGAGAGGGUGACCGGCCACAUUGGGACUGAGAUACGGCCCAGACUCCUACGGGAGGCAGCAGUGGGGAAUAUUGCACAAUGGGCGGAAGCCUGAUGCAGCAACGCCGCGUGCGGGAUGACGGCCUUCGGGUUGUAAACCGCUUUCGCCUGUGACGAAGCGUGAGUGACGGUAAUGGGUAAAGAAGCACCGGCUAACUACGUGCCAGCAGCCGCGGUGAUACGUAGGGUGCGAGCGUUGUCCGGAUUUAUUGGGCGUAAAGGGCUCGUAGGUGGUUGAUCGCGUCGGAAGUGUAAUCUUGGGGCUUAACCCUGAGCGUGCUUUCGAUACGGGUUGACUUGAGGAAGGUAGGGGAGAAUGGAAUUCCUGGUGGAGCGGUGGAAUGCGCAGAUAUCAGGAGGAACACCAGUGGCGAAGGCGGUUCUCUGGGCCUUUCCUGACGCUGAGGAGCGAAAGCGUGGGGAGCGAACAGGCUUAGAUACCCUGGUAGUCCACGCUGUAAACGGUGGGUACUAGGUGUGGGGUCCAUUCCACGGGUUCCGUGCCGUAGCUAACGCUUUAAGUACCCCGCCUGGGGAGUACGGCCGCAAGGCUAAAACUCAAAGGAAUUGACGGGGCCCCGCACAAGCGGCGGAGCAUGCGGAUUAAUUCGAUGCAACGCGUAGAACCUUACCUGGGUUUGACAUGGAUCGGGAGUGCUCAGAGAUGGGUGUGCCUCUUUUGGGGUCGGUUCACAGGUGGUGCAUGGCUGUCGUCAGCUCGUGUCGUGAGAUGUUGGGUUAAGUCCCGCAACGAGCGCAACCCUUGUUCACUGUUGCCAGCACGUUAUGGUGGGGACUCAGUGGAGACCGCCGGGGUCAACUCGGAGGAAGGUGGGGAUGACGUCAAGUCAUCAUGCCCCUUAUGUCCAGGGCUUCACGCAUGCUACAAUGGCUGGUACAGAGAGUGGCGAGCCUGUGAGGGUGAGCGAAUCUCGGAAAGCCGGUCUCAGUUCGGAUUGGGGUCUGCAACUCGACCUCAUGAAGUCGGAGUCGCUAGUAAUCGCAGAUCAGCAACGCUGCGGUGAAUACGUUCCCGGG
rnacentral:rRNA from 1 species